rnacentral:rRNA from 1 species
UCCCCUAGUAACGGCGAGUGAAGCGGGANGAGCUCAAAUUUNAAAUCUGGCGGUCUCAGAUCGNCCGAGUUGUAGUCUAGAGAAGCGUUUUCCGUGCUGGCCUGUGUACAAGUCCGUUGGAACACGGCGUCAUAGAGGGUGAGAAUCCCGUCCUUGACACNNAUCUCCAGUGCUUUGUGAUGCGCUCUCAAAGAGUCGAGUUGUUUGGGAAUGCAGCUCAAAAUGGGUGGUAAAUUCCAUCUAAAGCUAAAUAUUGGCGAGAAACCGAUAGCGAACAAGUACCGUGAGGGAAAGAUGAAAAGCACUUUGGAAAGAGAGUUAAACAGUACGUGAAAUUGUUGAAAGGGAAACGAUUGAAGUCAGUCAUGCUUUCCGAGACUCANCCGGUUCUGCCGGUGUACUUCUCGGUUUGNAGGCCAGCNUCNNNUUUGGGCGGNGGAAAANGUUGGCGGGAAUGUGGCAUCUUCGGAUGUGUUAUANCCCGCUUUCGAAUACNUCGCCCGGGACUGAGGAACGCANCACGCCUCUUGUAGGUCGGUCUUCGGACACGUCCGUGCUUAGGAUGCUGGCAUAAUGGCUUUAAACGACCCGUCUUGAAACACGGACCAAGGAGUCUAACAUGUUUGCNAGUGUUUGGGUGGAAAACCCGAGCGCGUAAUUAAAGUGAAUGCA